UACGGAGGGUCCAAGCGUUAUCCGGAAUCAUUGGGUUUAAAGGGUGCGUAGGUGGCCCUGUAAGUCAGUGGUGAAAUAUCUCAGCUUAACUGAGAGGGUGCCAUUGAUACUGCAGUGCUAGAGUGCAGAAAGGGCAAUCGGAAUUCUUGGUGUAGCGGUGAAAUGCGUAGAUAUCAAGAGGAACACCUGAGGCGAAGGCGGGUUGCUAGGCUGACACUGACGCUGAGUGCGCGAAAGCCAGGGGAGCAAACGGG
rnacentral:rRNA from 1 species